UUCAUGAAGAACCCAGGAACCACCAAGGCUCAGGCCUGCCAUGAACUGGAAACUGCUAGAAAGUCCGCAUCACUGUCCACAAUGAACCAAGUUUUACAUCACCAUGGACUGAAAGGGUGCCAGCCAAGAAAGAAGCCCCUGCUCCAAAAUCGCGACCUUCAAGCUAGACUAAAAUUUGCAGCUGUC